UCGCGUAUAUAUAAUUCUUAUUAUAUCGAGUACUGAUAUCACUAUAUCAGUUAUAGUUCAACUAAAUGACGAGUCCCAUCAUUCCAACCCAUUUCCCACGGUAAAAAUUAGGCAAAUUCCACUCAUUUUUACCCGUUUACGACCCUAUAUGUCAAAAUAUUACGGAGUAUAUAAUUAUUAUAUUACAUACACGAGUUCUUUUAACCAAUCUAGACUACUGUUUACCAACUAGUGCUUUGUUAAAAAAAGGGGAAGUUUCUUAAAUCUGUCCGUGUCCGUUCUAUUAAUUCUGUGUUGAAAGGAUAUAUGUGUGGCAAUGAAAUUUAAGUUAAUCUGGUAGCACAGAAACUA